UAAGGUAAUGGUGCUGACUAACAGGUCAUGU
rnacentral:piRNA from 1 species